rnacentral:rRNA from 1 species
CGGCGUGACUCCAAUUGAACCGCAGGCUUCACCCUUGUGGUGCUCCCCCGCCAAUUCCUUUAAGUUUCAUACCUGCGUACGUACUUCCCAGGCGGCAGACUUAACGGCUUCCCUGCGGCACCGCAUUGGCCACAAGCCAAUGCAUCACCGAGUCUGCAUCGUUUACAGCUGGGACUACCCGGGUAUCUAAUCCGGUUUGCUCCCCCAGCAUUCAUCCCUCACCGUCGAACGUGUUCUGGUACACCGCCUUCGCCACAGGUGGUCUUCAAUAGAUCAAAGGAUUUUACCCCUUCCUAUCGAGUACCGUGUACCUCUCCCACUCCCUAGCUGCACAGUAUUUUCGGCGGCCUAUACGUUAAGCGCAUAGAUUUAACCGAAAACUUAUGCAACCGGCUACGGAUGCUUUAGGCCCAAUAAACCUCCUGACCACUCGAGGUGCUGGUUUUACCGCGGCGGCUGACACCAGAACUUGCCCACCCCUUAUUCACCAGUGAUUCUACAACUGACAAAAGACUCCUUUAGCAGGAGACACUCGGAUUAACCUUGUCGUGCUUUCGCACAUUGCAAAGGUUUCUCGCCUGCUGCGCNCCAUAGGGCCUGGGUCCGUGUCUCAGU